CCUACGGGGGGCAGCAGGCGAGAAACCUUAGCAAUGCGGGAAACCGUGACUGGGCUAUCCCGAGUGCCAGCCGCUAAGGUUGGCUUUUCCCCAGAGUAAAAACCUGGGGGAAUAAGCGAGGGGCAAGACUGGUGUCAGCCGCCGCGGUAAUACCAGCUCCGCGAGUGGUCGGGACGAUUAUUGAGCCUAAAGCGCUCGUAGCCGGUCCGGUAAGUCCUGUGCUAAAUCCAACGGCUCAACCGUUGGGCCGCAUGGGAUACUGCUGGGCUAGGGAGCGGAAGAGGCCAGGGGUACUCCCGGGGUAGGGGCGAAAUCCUAUAAUCCCGGGAGGACGACCAGUGGCGAAGGCGCCUGGCUAGGACGCGUCCGACGGUGAGGGGCGAAAGCUGGGGGAGCGAACCGGAUUAGAUACCCGGGUAGUCCCAGCUGUAAACGAUGCGGAUUGGGUGCCGGUACGGCUUCGGGCCGUAUCGGUGCCUCAGGGAAGCCGUUAAAUCCGCCGCUUGGGGAGUACGGUCGCAAGACUGAAACUUAAAGGAAUUGGCGGGGGAGCACCACAAGGGGUGAAGCCUGCGGCUCAAUUGGAGUCAGCGCCGGGAACUUUACCGGGGGCGACAGCAGUAUGAGGGCCAAGCUGAUGACUUUGCCCGACGCGCUGAGAGGUGGCGCAUGGCCGUCGCCAGCUCGUGCCGUGAGGUGUCUGGUUAAGUCCAGGAACGAGCGAGACCCUCACCCCUAGUUGCCACCGCGCAAGCGGGCACACUAGGGGGACCGCCACCGCUAAGGUGGAGGAGGGAGGGGGCAACGGCAGGUCAGCAUGCCCCGAAUCCCCCGGGCCGCACGCGGGCUGCAAUGGUGGAGACAAUGGGUUCCGAACCCGAAAGGGGGAGGUAAUCCUUGAAACUCCACCGUAGUUGGGAUCGAGGGCUGCAACCCGCCCUCGUGAACCUGGAAUCCCCAGUAAUCGCGUGUCAUCAUCGCGCGGUGAACACGUCCCCGCUCCUUGCACACACCGCCCGUCA
rnacentral:rRNA from 1 species